rnacentral:rRNA from 1 species
GCGGGGGCCCAAUUUUGGUUUGGUUUUCUAGGAUCGCCGUAAUGAUUAAUAGGGAUAGUUGGGGGCAUUCGUAUUCAAUUGUCAGAGGUGAAAUUCUUGGAUUUAUUGAAGACGAACUACUGCGAAAGCAUUUGCCAAGGAUGUUUUCAUUGAUCAAGAACGAAGGUUAGGGGAUCGAAAACGAUCAGAUACCGUUGUAGUCUUAACAGUAAACGAUGCCGACUAGGGAUCGGAUGAGGUUUUUAAUGACUCAUUCGGCACCUGAAGAGAAAUCUUUAAGUCAGGUUCGGGGGGGAGUAUGGUCGCAAGGCUGAAACUUAAAGGAAUUGACGGAAGGGCACCACCAGGUGUGGAGCCUGCGGCUUAAUUUGACUCAACACGGGGAAACUCACCAGGUCCAGACACGACAAGGAUUGACAGAUUGAUAGCUCUUUCUUGAUUUCGUGGUUGGUGGUGCAUGGCCGUUCUUAGUUGGUGGAGUGAUUUGUCUGGUUAAUUCCGAUAACGAACGAGACCUUAACCUGCUAAAUAGCCCGGCCGACUUUGGUUGGUCGCUGGCUUCUUAGAGGGACUAUCGACGUCUAGUCGAUGGAAGUUUGAGGCAAUAACAGGUCUGUGAUGCCCUUAGAUGUUCUGGGCCGCACGCGCGCUACACUGACCGAACCAGCGAGUUUAUUUCCUUGGCCGGAAGGCCUGGGUAAUCUUGUGAAAUUCGGUCGUGAUGGGGAUAGAGCAUUGCAAUAAAAAAGAAACAAACAAACCAUCCCCAAACCUCCCUCCCCCUCCCUCCCCCCUCUCCUUUUUGCUUCUCCUUCGUCCCCCCGUUCAGGCCCCCGCGCCCGG